rnacentral:rRNA from 1 species
UGCAGUCGAGGGGUAGAGAUCAGCUUGCUGAUCUUGAGACCGGCGCACGGGUGCGUAACGCGUAUGCAAUCUACCUUUUACUGGGGGAUAGCCCGGAGAAAUCCGGAUUAAUACCCCAUGGUAUUGUUGAAUCACCUGGUUUAACAAUUAAAGUUUCGGCGGUAAAAGAUGAGCAUGCGUCCUAUUAGCUAGAUGGAGUGGUAACGGCACCCCAUGGCAACGAUAGGUAGGGGUCCUGAGAGGGAGAUCCCCCACACUGGUACUGAGACACGGACCAGACUCCUACGGGAGGCAGCAGUGAGGAAUAUUGGACAAUGGUCGCAAGACUGAUCCAGCCAUGCCGCGUGCAGGAAGACUGCCCUAUGGGUUGUAAACUGCUUUUGUACAGGAAGAAUAAGACUCUCGUGAGGGUUGAUGACGGUACUGUACGAAUAAGCACCGGCUAACUCCGUGCCAGCAGCCGCGGUAAUACGGAGGGUGCAAGCGUUAUCCGGAAUCAUUGGGUUUAAAGGGUCCGUAGGCGGAUCUAUAAGUCAGGGGUGAAAGUUUGCCGCUUAACGGUAAAAUUGCCUUUGAUACUGUAGGUCUUGAAUACGUGUGAAGUGGUUAGAAUGUGUAGUGUAGCGGUGAAAUGCAUAGAUAUUACACAGAAUACCGAUUGCGAAGGCAGAUCACUAACACGUCAUUGACGCUGAUGGACGAAAGCGUGGGGAGCGAACAGGAUUAGAUACCCUGGUAGUCCACGCCGUAAACGAUGGAUACUAGCUGUUCGGACUUCGGUUUGAGCGGCUAAGCGAAAGUGAUAA